AAAUGACAUUAAGAAUAACUACAGAAAACGUCUUUGCACCAACAAUAAAAAUAUAAUAUUCUUUGUUGCAAGCUCCACAUUAUCUUUCACAUGAUCUUGUUCUUUAAUCUUCAAAAUCUUCAUCUGUCAAAACAACAAUUUGAAGCAAAUUAAUUAGUAACAGAAAAAAGUUUGAACUUAAGGAUUAAUUAUCUUGAAUAGUUCCUGAUCUAUUUUUUGAUGUAUACAACUAGAAACAUAUUUACAGUUCUAGUUCAUGAAGUCUAGAUAAUUUCUCUACCCAACCUUCUACAUUGAGGAUCUCCACUGGCAGCCAGCAAGAGUUGUAUUACUUUCACAUUAACAUCUCAUAUAGAGGGUGGUUGGUGCUUCCUCAUUUAAAUAUUUAUUCAAGUGAAUGCUUCCUCAUACCCCACCGCUUUCACAAAUCCUGGGCCUCUUUCCAGUGUAAUGGA
rnacentral:lncRNA from 1 species